rnacentral:rRNA from 1 species
UACGUAGGGCGCAAGCGUUGUCCGGAAUUAUUGGGCGUAAAGAGCUCGUAGGCGGUUUGUCGCGUCGGAUGUGAAAGUCCGGAGCUCAACUCCGGAUCUGCCGUGCCGACUGUCAAACUCGAGGGCUGUAGAGGCAGACGGAAUUCCGGGUGUAGCGGUGGAAUGCGUAGAGAUCCGGAGGAAGACCGGUGGCGAAGGCGGGUCUCUGGGCCGUAACUGACGCUGAGGAGCGAAAGCGUGGGGAGCAAACAGG